CAUCAAUUUCUCUAUCCUCUUCUCUAAUGGUGUGUUUUACUAAUUAGGAAUUUGAAUUCUCAUCAGGAAUUAAAUUCUACCUAUGAAGGAUUCAUGCGUUUACUUCACAUCAAGAAAUUAAAAAGUAAGUGGGGCCACACAAAAUUAGGAAUUGAAUUCCUGAUUAAGAUUAUGCUAUUAGGUUGAUGCUUAAAUCAAUCUAACAUGAAUCAUAAAUUGGCCGAGUUGCUUAUCCCUACUUACUUAUCAUGCCCACCAAAUUUAUGACUCCGCCCUUAGAGUGAUGUUGCUACAACUAUAAUGAGUCCAAGAGCAGGCGAUUCUACACGUAAUGAGGACGAUUUGAUAUAAGAGUCAAUUUAAGCUGAAUUUAGACUUUGAGAACCUCUAAUCUAAGUUCAACAUGGAUUUGAUCAAAUUGCUAAUUUAUCAACGCAACAAAACUUAUGCAAAACUGAAAAAAUUUAAAAGAAAAAAAGGAUCCCACUAUUUAUAUAUAUAUUAAUUAAAAAAAAAAAGAAUAUCUAACAGUAUAGCCGUGCGGCUAUACGCUAUAAAUACAAUAUAAUGACUACGAGAUAGAAUGGAACUCCUUGAAUUCAUUCGAACACGACCAUCUUCUAGCCCCUUUCUCUCGCUCAGAUAUCCGGCGACCUCUCUUCUUCAAUCCUCAUCUCUCUCUCUCUCUCAUAGCACCAUCGUCAUCUCGUCCCUGACCUUGGAGAUUCCAAAAUGUGGCUUAUUUUUUUUCUAGACGGUAGCGCCUGCCUAGACAGCCUAGCAACCGCCUAGACCGCCUAGCGCCCGCCUUGGCCAUUUAUUCAGUAAUAUUAACAAUAUGAGUGAGUGUGUUCAAGGAUUUAACUUGUAAAGAAGAUUUUCGAACAAUAACAGAUAACCCAGAGAAGUUUCAUGGAGUUAUCACAAUGGUGGCUGUUGGCCAACACUGCUGUGGUUGCUUACUGCAGCAUGUAUCGAGACAGGGAGGCCUCAGACUGCUAAGACAGCAAUUGAACAGGUGGAGCAGCGGCUCUCAAAAGACGGGUGGCCAGAAUACUAUGACGGCAAGGCAGGGAGAUAUAUCAGGAAGCAAGCGAGGAAGUACCAGACCUGGAGCAUCUCAGGAUAUCUGGUAGCUAAACUGAUGAUCGAGAACCCAACCAAUCUUUCACUAAUCUUUCUUGAAGAGGACAAGAAGAUAGCCAAGCCAAGGCUCACCCGCUCCGCUUCCUUUUGAGUCAAACCAGUGGCAGCAGCAUACAUGAUGCAUUACAGUGUUUCGAAGGCUAAUGGCACAAAGUUGUGAUGGCAUAUUAAGAGGGCGACAGAGUCUGCUGAAGGUUGUGUGAAAGACUUCAUCUUUGGAUCAAAAAGGCAACCUGAAAGAGAAAUUGAGAAGCUUGCCCUUAACAGUGCAAAGGAAUAUCAUUAGUCUUUUUUUUGAAAAAAAAAAAAAUGAACGUCCUUAGUUAAAUAGACAGUUAACAAUGUAUUGAGAAUGAUUCUACUGUUCUUGUUAGUUUUAUGUGGUGAUAUUUCAUGUUUUGUUUUAUUUCGUGUAUGAUCUUCACCUU